rnacentral:rRNA from 1 species
GUACACUCCUGCGGGAGGCAGCAGUGGGGAAUAUUGGACAAUGGGCGCAAGCCUGAUCCAGCCAUGCCGCGUGAGUGAUGAAGGCCCUAGGGUUGUAAAGCUCUUUCACCGGUGAAGAUAAUGACGGUAACCGGAGAAGAAGCCCCGGCUAACUUCGUGCCAGCAGCCGCGGUAAUACGAAGGGGGCUAGCGUUGUUCGGAUUUACUGGGCGUAAAGCGCACGUAGGCGGACUAUUAAGUCAGGGGUGAAAUCCCGGGGCUCAACCCCGGAACUGCCUUUGAUACUGGUCGUCUUGAGUUCGAGAGAGGUGAGUGGAAUUCCGGGUGUAGAGGUGAAAUUCGUAGAUAUUCGGAGGAACACCAGUGGCGAAGGCGGCUCACUGGCUCGAUACUGACGCUGAGGUGCGAAAGCGUGGGGAGCAAACAGGAUUAGAUACCCCUGUAGUCCCAUGA